UGGAUGUGGAGGUCAUGUUGAGUAACCGGUGAAGAAUCAGGCAGUCUGGAGGUACAGAGGUCUGAUUUACCAGGGGACAAGCUAGAAACAAUUAUGACAUUGAAGCCCAGAGACGGUAUUGACUUAAACUUGCAGCACAGCCGAGAAGGGAACCUGGGUAUAAUGCUCCUUAGAUUACACCAGACAGAUCUUUCCCAGGGGUUCAUGUUGAUAUUCAGCCACAUGCACUCCCAUCCUCAAAUGCAGAACUGAGAAUGAGUUGAGUACAGGCUGGUGAGAUAUUGGAAUCUCCCAUACUGAAUUGACUUUUGGUCAGAACCUGAAGAGCUAUGGAAUUUGCUGUGAAAUUGCCACUUCCUAUUUAUUAAUGAAGGUUGAAGGACAAUAGUCCUUGCUAACUGGAACUUUCUCUACCCUAUGCUACUAACUCCUCAACCAUGAUUCCAGGGUUACUUAAUGUUCCUUUCCCCUAAUUAUAGUGACCACACCCAUAUCUUAAGCUACAUUUUGUUUGUUUGUUUGUUUGUUUGUGGUACGCGGGCCUCUCACUGUUGUGGCCUCUCCAGUUGCGGAGCACAGGCUCCAGACGCGCAGGCUC